CAUGUUUCCUCAUUCUAAUCUUUCAAAUUGCCUCCUAAGCUGAGACUUCUUUGUAAAUGAGAUUUGCUUUUCUUCUUCUUCCGUUCUGGGGGAUGUGUCACUCUGCAGGAGCACAUGUGUGUGUCUGCUUGGAUCACAGCAACAUUUUACUGCAGAAGAUGGAGGGCUUGCCACAGCCAUCUGGAAUAUUGCUGGCUCCAGUGCUUCCAGGGGAAAAACAUGGACAAAAUGGAUUUUCCUCUGCCUGAGAGGUGAACAGAGAGGAUUCCCCUCUGGUGCCACUGCUCCUGGAAUGGGACGAGACACAGACCUGUCCUGGGCCACCACACCCAUGGCUACUGUGUUCCACUGGAUUUAUUCCUCCUGAGCAUUUCCCAAAGCUGUCAUCUUGACUUUUCUGGCAUGAAACUCGGAAGCAAAUACAUAGAUUGUGUUUCUAAACCAAAGGAGCUCAUGCUUGCUGGAGCAGACUUUUGGAAGUGAUGUUGGCUUCUUAAAGGUCUCCUUGCUGGUGAGCAGUAGGAGACAGGGUCUGCCUCACUCCCCAGCCCAUGGAUAAAAUCAUAAUAUUUUCAGUACCAUGGUAAAUUCUGUCCUGGCUUUUGGUACAAAAAAUAAAGGGAAGAGGAAAGAAUGUGAAGUGGGAGCAGCGUGCCAAAGCCUGAAAUGAAUUUCUUCCCUGAUGAGGAAGGUGAAGAAUUUGCUUGGUUGUCACUGCAGAAGAUGGAGAACUUCUCCAGGGAAGAUGGAAGGUCCAGACUGAGCAAGGAAUUUACAGAAAGGUCUCUCUUAUCUCACUUAAAACAUCUGGAAUAGUAGUAGGAGGUUUAUACAUGAGGAGGAAAUAAAACUUGCUACCUGUGGAAGGUAGAUGGGGAGGAGAGUUUUAAAAUGGAGGGAAAUGGAAGAGGGGGGAAUAAUCAAGGUAAAGAAACAGAAUGGUUUGAGCUGGAAUGGUGACUUCUAAAUUUUCAUUACUAAAAAUACAAAUAAAUACAAGCCAAAUUGAAAAAUGGGUUAGUUUUGACCACAACACCACCUGUUUUGUUUCAUAGCACAACUAUGUCAGUGGUUGCUGGGUAUGAGAGCUGAUAUCUCUUGACUUGCUUGGACAGCUUUGGGCACCACUCAGAGCUGUAUUUGUAAGAAAGGCAGAUCUCAGUCCAUAAAAAACAGUGACCACGUGAACCAGCUCUGUUCCUUAUCCCAGUCCUUAUCCCUGUGCAUCAGCCAAAGACAGUAAUUGUGUUUAUUGAAAUGAAGAGUAAUUCAUCCAGUUGAAGUGCAGCUCCUAUUUAUGGUUACAUUGGCUGGUUUGGCUGUGUCCACCUGACAUCGGGUGACAUCAAUCCAGAGUCCAGUGGGUGACCUCCCCAGACACUGUCAGCCAGAGGGAAGGAAGUCAGGAAGCAAAUAAAACAUUUCAGGGAGGAAAAUUUCUCGAGCUCGUAAGUGGAAAUUGCCUGAGUAUCCUUCGACACAAGAGAGGGAGCUGGAAAUUGAGGGUUUCCAUGUCUUCUACCAAAGCAUUCCCAACUGCUGCCUUGAGGAUUCCUGUUAAACUUGGAUUUUUGGGGCUGGAAAGGGAAAACUACACCCUUUAAUCUCCAAGGUGUUUUGUCUUUUUUCCCUCAAACUGUGUGUGAAUCUGAUCACUAAAGAUGGAAUAUGGUGUUUUCUCUGUACAUGAAGUCCUUCCUGGAUGCAGUGGGAAGAAAGAUCUCAUCUAAACCAUAGCUGAGGCUUAAAAUCCUUUGGAAAAGGUCUGGGAUUCAUCGAUCCUUAGUGAAAACAAACAAAAUCAUUGCAAGUUUAUAGUUCAACAGGCAGGAACAUUGAGCUAACUCAGGUGAUAAUGUCUGGUUCUAAUGGCUUUCCUGAAGAUUCUGUUUGUACUUUUCCCACUGAAAUGGAAUCUUUUGAAGAAAUAUCUACUUUGUUUCUUGGGUUUUUUUUUUUUGGUUUUGUUUGUGGGGUUUUUUUGGGGGGGUUUUUGGAGUAUUUUUUUAGUUCUAAAAUGUUACAGAAAAUACCUCAGUUCCAUCAAGUUUCAGCCAAACCAGUUGUAAUUUAAUAUAACAGCCUUCCCUGGGUGAUACUACAGUGAUUAAUUUUAGUAUUAAUUGCUCCAGGUUAUGGCUUUAUCCACUGCUGAUAAUACUCCAGUGAUAUGGCUUAAACCAAGGCUGAAAUACUCUGUGCCCAGUAUCUGUGAACAGAUCCAAUUUCCUUCUCAGCCACUGGAUGCUGUUACAGUCACUUUUAGUGCUGGAUCCAGUCUUUUAUGUGCUUUUAAAUUACUGGGGAGCUGCUGGCUGGAGAGGAAGGGCUCAGUGAAAUAAAGGAGAUGACCACAAAGAGGGACCUUGUGGACACGACAGCAGAGAAAUAUUUGCUUGACCAUGAACAGUGAGCCAGGGCUGAGUCCCAGCACCUUCCCUCUUCCCAGUGAGUCACUUAACCUCUCCACAUUGCAGGGCUUUUAAAAUAAAAUCCAGUUAAUUGCCUGCCUUCAGGAGGAGUUGGGAGACUAAUUAAUGAAUGUUUGCAAAGUACUUGAACACAGCAAAGUGCAGUAGUGACUGCUGAGUGUUGUUGCCACCUUUCGGAGGCAGAUCCAGCAGGAGCAGCUCCUGCUGCUGUGAAUUGGUGUGGAGGGCUCUUUGCUGGGUCAGACUCUCCUCUGGUUUCUCUGAUUGCCUCAGUAACCUCCAAAAGAAACAAAAUUUAAACGUACCUGAAAGCUGAACCCUUGGCUGCCUGCACCUGUUGUGUGUGUUCUCCCUCUCAGGAUGGUGUGAGCCAAACUCUAUCCUGCCCUGGAAAGGAUUGUUUCCAUUCACAUUUAGCAGAAUUCCAUGGAGGGCACGGAAAGUUUGCAUGGAAGCAGCAUCAUCGUGCACCAGGCAUCAGUGGUGGCCUUCCCUUCCCUGUGCCCUCUGCGUGCCUGGAAUGCUGAUGGAAGGGAUGGGAUUUACCUGGAACUCACAGAUCAAGGCUGCACUUCACUUGAUAGAACAUCAAUUCCCAUUUUCACUAAGCCCAGACUGUGGCUGCUGCUUGAUCUGUGGAGAUUCCUGCUGAGGGAAGACUGUGCAUGGUGAUUUGAGGAGGAAGAUGAAUAUGAUCCUGAUCACAGUUUAUGUGCUGUUAUUCUCUGAGAGCUCUCCAUGGUUAAACACCUCUGCACGUCCCUGUAUUUACCUGGAGGAAUCCUGUGGGUGGGCAGUGAUUGCCAAGAUGGGCUCAGGUCACCCUCAUUUUUUGUGCUGAUCUUCAUCUACACUGCUUUAACGAGUAAUUUCCAGCGUGGCAAUUAAUCAGCUUAAGUCACACAGUUCUUCUGACCCUGCCUGUCCUUCACAUGGAUCUCAUGGAUUGCAGAUCAUAUCAGCACAAGGUGAACAAUGAAAUGUGGAUUUUUCUAGUAAAGUGUAGCCUCUGAAAUGUGUCACUCUUAAACUGUAAAAAGGGAUAUUAUCUGGGUAGAUCCUAUCUCAGUGUCAAACAUGUUCCUUUAUUAAGUGAUGUGAAAGGCCAAACGUUGUCUCACGGGUUUUCCCUGCUUUCACUGCCCAUUGUAACAAAAAUAGAGAACGUAAUUAAAGAAAAAACCCAUCAAAACAGUCACAAAAAGGGGGUUUGAAUAUCUCAGGGUGUCUAUCUUGGAAUAUUGAAUGGAUCCCAGAUUUUUAGCCAGGGAAAAUUAAACAAUGGGUAUAGAUGGAGUCCCCUGAAGCAGCUGUUGACCCAGCCAGGAGCCUUUGGUCCUCACAAACAGAUUGUACAAUCCACAGCCAGAAUUAGACACAAAUUAGAAACCCUUUCAGUUUUAGCUUUGUAGGAGUUUUAAACACAAACACUUUUUAGGUGAGUUGGUGUUUUCCUUAGAUCAGUUUGAGCCUCUCUGGCGCUCUCCCAUGUGAAAUUCACGUUAAAUUGUGCAACAUUUAGUAUAGAGAUGAUAUUUUUAGGAUAAUAAUCCCUGGAAGUGUCCAGGACCAGGUUGGAGCACCCUGGGAUGGUGGAAGGUGUCCCUGCCAUGGCAGGGGGUGGAAGGAGAUGAAUUUUAAAGUCCCUUCCAGCCCAAACCAGUCUGGAUUCUGUGGCAGGACUGUAAUGUUAUACAAUAUUUAUAUUAUGCCUCACAAAGAGUGUAAAUCACAUUCUGCUGUGGGCCAUGGAUGGAUGGAUCUGCACAACCACACUUCCCUUUUGGAAAGGACAUUUUAAAGCCAGCUCCAAGCAUUGCAACAAAAUUCUCAUUAUUUGGGCAAAUGUCUUGUGAUUUUGAGGCAGCUCUAAUGAAUGACAAAGUCUUUGACAAAUGUGAGGAAGUUUAUAAGUUGCUCAGUUUUUAACCUAUGACAUUUUCUGCAGAGAGGAGGGAAGGUUUCAGAAUCAGGUCCUCAGCUCCUAAUGAGGUAUUAGAUGGGGUUUUCCCCUGUUUUCUUCUGCCCCCUGAUAGCUGCACCUCAUUUUGGAUGAACUCAGGGGUGUCAGCAGCUCUGACAUCUUGCUGGCUUGGCAGCUGGCUCCAAACCUGGUGUGCUGGAGGGCAUGAACGAGGUUCAGACAAACAGUUUGCACUGUUUUCCAAAUGAUACCAUGAGAAAAAAGGGACUUAACUAAGUAUGUUUGCCACAGCUCAACAGAGACCCUUCCAGACCUGAAUAACCUUCUCUGUCACCAGAGGAGUUACUGAGGUACAGCAGCAAGAAUAUGAAAUAUGGUGAUGUGGGGAUAUGCAAGGAUGUGCUUUUUGCCUGCUUAAGGGAGAAAAGUCUCUGAAAAAGGACUUUCAGGGCAUAAGAGCUGAGGCUGUGAAUUACAAGAUCUCUCUAGUGUGAUUCUCUAAUCCAUUCCUUCAGCAAACAAAAUUACUGAGGGAAAUGAAACUUUAUCCCCACAGAAACAAAAGGCAUAUGACAUGAUAUGAUCGAUUUUAUUGUUAUUUAUUUUGUUCCGAGGGUUUACUUGUUGGAAACUGCUGCUAUCUAUUCAGCAUCUAUCCACUUUCUCCAGCAUAAGAAAUUCCCACUGUCAUGGGCAAAAGGACUGCUUUGGAUUGGGCAUAAUUACAUGGUUUCUUUUAUAUUCUGCAGUGGCAGUGACAGUCCUACAUGGGCUGGUUCAUGUAUUAAAGUUAUUACCACAUAAUUUUUAAUGCAAUUGUCCUUGUUGCCUUCAGUGUUGUUAAACCAAUAUUUCUUUUUGAGCACAAGAGGGGAAAAAAGCAAGUUAAAAGCUUUACAGAUCAUAAUUUACGAGCGUGCUCAUAAAUUUCUUAAAAUAUCUAUGAAUUUGUGAUUAAACCAAUUUGUGUGUAAAUACAAGAACUAAAAUAUCCCUUUCAAAAAUGUUCCAUAAAACAAAGUCUCUGAGUAAUGAACACUCCACAGGCACUUGCAAGAGGGCAGAGGAGAAUAAAAAACAAACCCUAAUUUUUAUUUAUGAUAAAAUCUUUCAAGCACUUUUCAAUGAGGUCCCAUUUUUAGCAAGUAUCUGUAUUUCUGUCUGUAAUCUCGUGUGCUUUAAUACCACCCAGUGGAUUGGAUCCUGCCAGAAGGAAAAGGAAAGGCAAAAAUAUCAUUUCUCUCUCUGGCCCCACAGCGACUUGUAUUUUUCUGAGCUUUCCUUGAACAAUUUAAUUUCUGGUAAUUAGAGUGGCUGCAAUCUUUCAGGUUAGAAGGGUUUAGUGUUUAUUAAGAGGUUGCCUUCUGUGUUGCAAGCUGGUUGUCAGCAUGGGUCCAGUCUGGCACUGCCACUGCCAUCACAUCCAGGGAGAUGUUUUCUGCCUCUUGCCUUUGCUAACCUGGAGGAAAACAUUAGAUACGUAAGAGUUCCUCGUCUUCCUCACGCUCUGCUGCUCACAGAUUUCCUCUACAACUCGAAUCAGGAGGUAGGGAUAUAUUUUAUGGAGACAGAGAGCAGAUCACCCCAAAUCAGCAUUGUCCCUCUCUAAUGGCACUCGGUGUGAGCGCUGGGAAAUGCGCCAGGUGCGUGAGGGGAUUGUACAAGCCUGGCUGCGGGGAACACAGGGAUUCAGCGAAAGACAAAAGAGGGAUGGCAGGUUCCAUGAUGUAAUCUCUUCUCAUAUCGUUUCUGACAGAGUGGAAAAAUCGGGUGUGUGAGCUCAAGGUGCCCUGAGGCGUCUGGACUCGCCAGCGGUACUCACUCAGCGCAUCGCCGGCCUUGGCGCCGGCCCAGGACCCCGUUAGCUCCCAGCCGAGCUGUGAUAAACCCCAGGGUUUAUCCAAAGAGCAGGGCACAGAGGCACCUGGGUGCCUCCCUCUGAUGCCUUCCAAAGCUGAGCAGAGCCCACGGUGCUCCACAGAGCCCUUUGUGCUGACAUUUCACUUUGGAAACCCAGCAGGGAGGGAAGGUCACACCGGUCCAGAAACCUCUGCCCAAUGUUAUCUGAGUUAAGCUGGACUUUGGAGAGCAGAGAACUGAGGAUUUAGGGCAGGCUCCUGGUCCACAGGAUGUUUGUGUUGAUGUCUUCUCACAGAGUUUGGUUGGCUGUUCAAAGUCACUUCGUUUCUGAGAAGGACAUCUCCGGUUUUUGUCAAAAAAAUAAAACCCCAAAACUCUUCCACCUUUUGACAGAAAGUCAAGAAACUUCAAGAUUGAAGUUAUCUCUGGAAAAAAUAUACAUUACUUGGUGAGAGGCUGGGGAAAGUAAUACGGUCUCUGCUAUAUAUUAAAUGUUUUAGAAAUGACAGCAGUACAUUCACAGAUAUCUUACUGCUGUUCAACUAAAAAGCUGUAAAUUUGAUUUAUUUUACAAUAUCUGAAUUUGUGAUUGUACAAUUGAGCAGGAUUCUAAGCUACGCUCAAAAAUUUAUUUUUAAAAGUGAGAUUGGUAUUUUUCAAAGCCGGUUUUCUUUUUAUAUCUAAAGUGUUUUGAAACCUUGGCAGGUUACCUGAUCAUACUGCUGACAACUUCAUCGCUGUGGAAUUGUUACAAGAUGUCUCUUUCUAUGAGAUUUUAAAAAUACACGAUGGGAGUAUUUUCUAUCUCAUGUUGUUAAAAGCAGAGUUUUGUCAUUUCAGGUUUCAGAGGAUCCAAAACAAGUCAACAUCCUAAAAAUAAACAUUCUAAAUUGUUCUUGAAGGUUUAUUUUCCAAAGUUUUUUUUCUGAUGGUAAUUUAUAUUCUUCAUUUUCUGUCUACUAAAGUAUUAUUAAUUUCUGAUGGCUGGUUAUGAUCUGAAAAUACCUAUGUAAUAUCUGGGAUAUUGAUCUAAGAAUAUUACUUACUAAAAUACACCAAAGUAGAAUAUUUGUGGCAAAAUAUUUCUUGGUGUUGGUGUAAAACUGUGUGCAAGCACUAAAUACUCCUUGCUGCAAUUCAAAUCUUCUCAGCUGAGUAAAAAUAAGUCCUGAAUGCAAAGAAAACCAGGGAGAGAAGAAUGAGAUGCUCAUGGGUCAGCCUUUGAGGAACCCUUUGAUCCCAAAGGAUGUCAUGGACCUGUCGUGUCCUCCAGAGUGCCAGGAGCUCCGUGAGUGUGGUGGUUGUAAAAUGCUGAGUGCCACCAAGGUUCUUGUUGUUCUUCCAGCCUGUUUUUCCAGGACUUAUGCAGGAUCCUCCCCCUGGUUGCUGUUUCCCCCAGCUCUUUGGAUUGUCCUUUCCCAUUCUCUAUUUUCUCUAGUCACAAACUCAGCCCGGUACUGGGUAAUGUUAAGCACCUCAUUAGCAUUCCAGAAACUGCCACAGGCUCACCUAGGGAUUCCAUUCCAGGCCAGGAGUCACUGACAAGACAUUUCCUACAGUCUCCUUUCUUGCUGCUCCCUUUGUUUCCAUUGGCAGCUUCGAACUUCUCACGUUGCUGUUCUUUGAAUAUUAUUCCCAGCAUCUCAAGCUCUUGCCAUGCUUAAUGCCAUUCUCCACAUCUCUGGUUUUUAGUAUAAAGAGUGGUGUUCGUGUCACAGCGGGCUUUUUAGCUCAGCAGUGAGUAAACUGCUUUUGGUGGGGGGAAAAAAGGGUGUCAGGUUGAACCAGCUGAAAUCAAAGACAGGAACGAGACAUUUCAAGGUAGGGUAGGGGAAAUACAUGUAGCCUUUGCAAUAAAGGAAUGAAUCAGCUCACAGAGGGCUGAGAUGCUUUUUCUGGAACAUCCACACUACUGGAGAAGAGAUUUCAGGGGAUUGGUGUUUUGACUUGGCUGAUUUUGCUGCAGUGCUUGGAUUUUUCCAGUGGAUCUUGGUCAGAUAAAUAUCCUGCCUCUCCCUAGGCCAGCAUCCUCAGCUGUAGGUUUAGGAUUCUGAAAAGUGCCUUUCUCCUUCUUAACCAGCUGGCCAUGGAUUUUUGUUUGAGCAUCUGCCACUGUUUUCUGAAAUUCCCUCAGUUUGACUUCUCCUUUGCCAUCGGUUUGGGAGGCAGCCCUGGAAGUGUGGCUGGGGAGGAGGUGCAGGAAUGCCAGUGCUGCUGGAUCCUGUCUGGAGGCACAAUCUGACACCAGGAGAGCUGCUCAGGCAGCAGGUAAACCUGGGAACCUGCCAGAUCCCUCCCAGCUACACAACUGCUUGGUAAAACCCAGUGUGGACACAGGUGAGUGCUCUCCAGCUUUUAAUUACCAAACUGAGAGGGCAACUGAGCUGCCCUUACACAGCCACUUGGCUUUAAUGAUUUUUUUAUGUUUUAUUUCAUUUCAGCAAUAACAAAGCCUUCCCCCCCCGGCUCCCAGUUUUCCUCUGUGGAAUUAAUUUAACUGUGGAAUUUUUCUUGUUGGACUGUAGUUUUUAUGCAUGAUAGGUGCCCAGGUGAAUGUGUUAUUAAGUUAAAUAAUCUAUUCUCAAUAACAAGGAAAUCAAUUUUUAUUGAGAUAAUUGUCAGUAGAUGGAUUUCUGCAUGGCAUUAAUUAAAAAAUUUCCAAUUCCCUUCUGAGUAGUGUCUGUGUGUACAGGUACUGUGCCUGCAUGUACCUGACUCCUCUUGAGAGCUAUGUUUGCCAAAGAAUUAAGAUUAUAAUUAUAAUUAUAAUUCCUGCUUAUUGGAAUGGUGUGAUUCAAUGCACAAAGUCUGACUGUGAUGGGAUCUGAUCUCCCCCACUGUGCUGUGGAAGCUUUUUAUUUCCUAAUCCUCUGUAGUAUUUAAUUCUAUUUGUUUUCUUUGACUGUGCUGUGAGGUAACCCAAAUACAUCCAUUGCUGGUGGGGCCUUUCCAGAAUAAAUUCAGAAAAUUUUUCUCUACCGCUAAAUUCUUGAAAAACAUUGCAAAUUUGAAGUAUGGAAGUUGAGGACUUAAGAUUUUAUGUUUGCCCAACUUGCAAGCUCUGAGUAAGGCUCGAUGGUAUGAACAGAAACAUUAACAGAUUUUCUCCUGUGGAUCUGGCCACUGAAUGUUUAAACAGCUGACAGAAGUAUUUAUUCUUUUAUUUUAACUAGUACAUUCUAGCCUUAACCUUUACUGUUCAUUUUCCUUCAAAAG